GACGUCACCGAGUCCGCAACAAGUGAUGACGCAAUGCGCGCGCGCCCUCCUCCACCACCUCAGGCCGGGAUGGCCAAAUGUUCGGGAAUGUGGCAGUGUGGUCUCCCUGCCCUGUGUAGUUAACGCCUUAUUCUCGAGUAUUGCCGCAUUGAAAAUGGUCGCCAGAGUAUUUAGUCACACGAAGUUCUGCCUCUGUUUUGAUUAUCUCCAGCAUCUGCACUAUUUUGCCAUCAUUUUGAUGUCCACUAAUCUGGGUUUGCCUAAUCAUGCAAAGUGCCUUGGCCACAAUGAGAAUUGAACUCCAUGAUGUUGACGUUUACUUGAUCUACACGCCAACUCUCUAGUCAACUGAGCUAACUGGCACCUCUCCAGUGUGCUAGGAAACACAGUAGUCAUUAUUUAGUGACAAGAAAGAACUUACUGUUGGACACGUAUUUUGACUGUUGGGGUACAUUAAUAUAGGUGGUCCAAGAUAGUCUCUGUGCUAAUGGAUGCAAAUCCUCACUGCAACAUUUAAUCGCAUUUCAAUAACAUAGUCUUAUGGCACAUAAUCAAAAACAAUGGUCUGGGAAGUGCCUGCCAUUUCUUGAGCCAAUACCAACCCAAACUGUUUGGGGAUUGCCAUAAUCUGUUCAUCAAUAUUAUGUAUAGUCUUAAAACAAAUAUACAUAAACAAAUUGAACACUCUAACAGUACUACAAAAUGAAUAUACACCAGGGAAUCUAUUGAUGAUGUUGUCAAGCUGCAUAUAUUUCAUUGUUUCACUGAGGAGCUUUUAAUUAGCCAUUUAUUUCUGAUUUAAUUUAUGAAAAAAAUAUAGAUAGGAAAUGUCUAGAGUGGCAGUAUACAUUCACAGCUUUCUUGUUUCCUUCUCCGUCAUGGGUAAAAUAAUUAUCAGUCUGAAAGCAGAACAGCCUGACUACCUGUCUGCCAAUCUGAAAAUUAAUGGAUGAGAGCACCCUGACUGUCACAUGAGAUUAUCUGCCACUGUUUGGUGAGGUCUUACAAUCCUCAACCGGACCACUAGAUGGAGCUCCAAUCUAUGUCAAUAUAUUUCAUAGAAUCAAAGAAUCCCUGUAGUGUGGAAGCAGGCCAUUUGGUCCAUCGAGGCUGCAUCGAUCCUCUGAAGAGCAUCCUACCCAGACCCAACUCCACCACCCAAUCCCCAUAACCCUGUAUUUCCCAUGGCCAAUUCACCUAACCUGCACAUCUUUGGACUGUGGAAGGAAACUGGAGCACCUGGAGGAAACCCACGCAGGAGAGAAAUGUGCAAACUGCACACAGACAGUUGCCCAAGGCUGGAAUCAAACUCAGGUCUCUGGCACUGUGAGGCAGCUGUGUUAACCACAGAGCCACCAUGCCACCCACUGAAUCCAAUCAUGAAAUAACAACAGUCUGAAGUCAAAGAGUCCCCCACUCUCCCCUGCCCACCAAGUUAAUGCCAAUGGAAUUGUAUUAGUUACUCCUGUGGCUGCUAUCAGUGAGAAAUGGGACUUGUAAAAUAAAAGUUUCUGAUUAUUCACAAUACAAAUUUUCAGGAAAUGAAACAAAUAAUAAACAUUAGCCAGCCGAGAAUAAAUAUCUUUCAAUGAUUGCUCCUAUUAUUACAGAUUUCUUCCUUUGGUUGCCUCCUGCAUUUAUUCUCUCAUAUUUUUCUGAACUUACCCAGAGAAACUUAUGUCAGACUUUCCUUCAGGGUUGUUUAUUCGACCUUCCUGAAAAGCCCAGUGAGGCACUUCAUGAUUUCUGUGAAUCUAGUCUUCACAUAGUUUAAGACAGUAUUUUUGCCGUAUGUUGUCAAUACUAAUCUGCAGUAAUUAAUCAAACAGCCAGUUAAAAGAACCUCUCAGUGCUUACUCUGUCAGACCCCUUCAGAACAUUGUAUAUUUGAGUGAGAUCACUCUUCUGAACACCUGUGAUUAUGGGCCUAAUUUAUUCUGUCUCACAUUGUAGGAUGAUCCUCACAUUCUAGGGCACAACCCAGUGAACACUUGGUGAGAAUUUCCUGAACUGUAUGAUGCUGUUCAACACUCGUUAACUAAAUCAUUAGGGAGCCAACUAUUGUUAUUUACUUGUCACUGAUACUUCACAGCUGUUAGUUCACAGUUAACUAAUGACCACAUUGUGGGAACAUCAGCGUUAUAACACCUUGCAUUCGUAUAUUACCUUUAUAUAUCUCUCUGAAACAUAAUGUGUUUCACAUAUGAUGAAGUAUUGAAAAUUAAAGUGACUGUUCUACAGG